rnacentral:rRNA from 1 species
GACGAACGCUGGCGGCGUGCUUAACACAUGCAAGUCGAACGAAGUGGCGAACGGGUGAGUAACGCGUAAUCAACCUGCCCUUCAGAGGGGGACAACAGUUGGACACGACUGCUAAUACCGCAUACUGAAGGAGGGGUUUGCGUCUGAUUAGCUAGUUGGAGGGGUAACGGCCCACCAAGGCGAUGAUCAGUAGCCGGUCUGGGGGGGUGAACGGCCACAUUGGGACUGGGACACGGGCCAGAACCCUACGGGAGGCAGCAGGGGGGAAUCUUCCGAAAAGGACGAAAGUCUGACGGAGCAAAGCCGCGGGAGUGAUGACGGCCUUCGGGUUGGAAAGCUCUGUUAAUCGGGACGCGGUACCGGAAUAGAAAGCCACGGCUAACUACGUGCCAGCAGCCGCGGUAAUUC